rnacentral:rRNA from 1 species
AUACGGAGGAUCCGAGCGUUAUCCGGAUUUAUUGGGUUUAAAGGGUGCGCAGGCGGCCAUUUAAGUCAGCGGUUAAAUCGUGGGGCUCAACCCCAUUCUGCCGUUGAUACUGGGUGGCUUGAUUGCGGUCGAGGUUGGCGGAAUUCGUUGUGUAGCGGUGAAAUGCAUAGAUAUGACGAAGAACACCGAUUGCGUAGGCAGCUGGCCAGACCGCAAAUGACGCUCAUGCACGAAAGUGCGGGGAUCGAACAGGAUUAGAUACCCUGGUAGUCCGCACAGUAAACGAUGAAUACUUGUUUUCGGCGAUAUAAUGUCGGAGGCAAAGCGAAAGCGAUAAGUAUUCCGCCUGGGGAGUACGCCGGCAACGGUGAAACUCAAAGGAAUUGACGGGG